rnacentral:lncRNA from 1 species
GGACGCUUCCGCUGGCUCGGCCCACAGGGUGCGCACAGCGUGCCGCCCGUUACUGGACUACGUCUCAGGCUCCGCCCCCGGGGCGGCCGCUUCCCUGGUCUCCAGGCAACAGGAGUGGCGCUGUCCAUUGUGCUGAACCAGCGCCUCCUCAAGGGAAGGCCUCAUGGCGCCCCCAGCCCUCCCUGCUGAGCGGCACCAGAGCCCCGAAACAGACGCCACUGAACCUCGGCUGCACUCCACCGCCAGCCCCCACUUGACCUCUUGGUGAUAGAAAGAGCUCGCUUCACUCCACGCUCCCCUAAGAGGCCUCCGCCCUUCCAUCUAGCUGAGGCGAAAGCCAAAGGCCUCCGAAACCAGAGCCCCUGCAGGACCCUCCACCCUCAUCUGCCUCUCCCCGCCUCCCUCGCUCCAGCCACCCUGACCUCCCGGCCGCACCGCAAACCGUCCAAGCGGAUUCCCACCUCGGGGCCUUUGCUCUCCUCCUCCCACUGCCUGAAAUGCUCUCUCAGAUCUCAUCGUGGCUGCUUAAAACAGUCACCUCCCAACUCCUCCUCUCCUCCCCCGCCCUCUUUAUUCCCCAGCACUCAUCACCACCUGACACAAGUUUUCCCAGUUUUUCUUGUUGACCCCUCCAGAGCAUGGAUUUCUGUCUGCUUGUUCACCGCUGUGUUGCCAGCAGUGAGGACAGACCCUGACACAGAGCGGGCACUCCGUAAUGUUUAUUGCAUGUGUAUGUGUGUGUGUAUUUGGGCACUUACUGUGUGCCAGGCCCAGUGUCCCUUCAUAAUGACCCUCUGCCCCAAUUUAAAGAUGAAGAAACUGAGACUCAGAAUGGCCCUCAUCUGACCAAGGUCACCUGCCUUCUGAGUGGCAGAGCCUGAAUCCCUGUCCCAGGUUCCUCUGGCUAUAACCUUUUCACCCCUGCUCUGUGCUGUAAUCCCUAAUACUGCCUUCUCCUUCGGGAAAGAAAGUGUAUAGGAGGCUGGCUUCACAGCACUUGGACAGCACUAGGUUUCAGUUCCUGUUCCCUUGACUACUAGCCAUGUGACCAUGAGCAGGUCAGUAAAUAUCUCUGCCUUAGUUUCUUCAUCCACAAAGUGGGGAUACCAAUCGUACCCGCCUCUUUGUACUGUGCGAGUCAAAUGAGGCAAUGACAGUGGAGGGCUGACCAGACAGACACCUGGCACACACUGGCACCUGAAAAAUUUUUUAAAUCAGGAGAACGAGGCCAGAAAAGCUAUAGGAACACAAUGUUGCAAGAAGGUGGGAGUGAAGAAUAGAUGCCAGACCUCACUGGGAACAAGAGAAAUGCACAUUAAAACUGGCACGGAGUUCCUGCAGUUCUCCUGUCAGGUGGGCAGGCGACAUUGCGUUGGAGAGGCUGUGGGGAAACAGCCUUAUUCAUAGAAGCAAAAGAUUACACACAACUCAAGCGGAAUCAAGAGGAGACCUUGUAAGCAAAUGAUGCUCCACUUAUACUUUGGGAAACGAGGCAACCGUUAAAAAGAACAAGGACACUUCGUACUGACAUGAGAUGGUCUCUGAAGUGUAGGUAUAUAGUGUAGGGUGUAAAGGACAGAAGCCAGGGGACAACUGAAGAGGCUCCUGCAAUAAUCCAGGCACGAGAUGCCAGUUUCUGGACCAGGACGCCGCCUCAAUGAGGACUCUUCACCAUCCUGAGAAGUUGGCAUCAUCAGCCCAAGGAUCACAGAAGGUCAGACUCUUGCUCACAUCAGCCCAGUUGAGGCCAGUGGUCCUGAAAGGAAGGAUUCUUGGGCAAUAUCGCCCUCUGCUGGCCAGGACAGAUAUCAGCUCCAUUUCCAAUAUUAACGAUUAUUAUUGUAUGUUACAUACUAUUAUAAUAUAUAAUAUUUUAUAUUAUUAUUCCGUGGAACACAACUAGCGCUCAAUAAAUCCGUGUGUCAGCCUCUCUCAUCCCGGUGCGCCAUGGAGGCCGGCACUAAUGGGGAUGUACAUGUAGGUGUACGUUGAAUGAAUGAACGAAGAAAUGUGGCCAGGUUCUGGGCCUCAGUCUCCCCUUCUGUCAAUCUGGGAUUCCUUCUUUCAUGAAAUAAACUAAUGUUUAUUUAGCAGGUACUUGGUCCUAGGUCCUGUUCUAAGCUCUUGGGACAAAGCAAUGAACAAGCCAAACGGCUGUGCCAGGCGCCGAGGGAAGAUCUCUGCGUCAGUCUUUCUCAUUCAAUCUUCAUAACAUCCUUGUGCCCAAAUACUAUUAUUCGCCCCAUUUUAUGGACGAGCAAAUGAUGGCUUCGAGAGGCUUUGAUGGCAGAACGAGAAGUGGCAGGCGUGAGACUCGAACCCACGACCCUGUUGAUUUUUCGCGGGAGCGCGCAGGCGGUGGGAGCGUGCGGGACGCCCCACGGGGACGAGCGCGCCGCCGUCCGUUGCCAUGGUCCCUCGGACGCUCUCCCGGAGCUUCUGCCCGCGGCGCGCGUCACGUGACCGGAGCCA